rnacentral:rRNA from 1 species
UUCCGGUUGAUCCUGCCAGAGGUUACUGCUAUCGGAGUUCGAUUAAGCCAUGCGAGUCUAAAGGUUUCUUCGGAAACCUUGGCGAACUGCUCAGUAACACGUGGAUAACCUACCCUUGGGACUGGAAUAACCCCGGGAAACUGGGGAUAAUACCGGGUAGAUCAGGGAUGCUGGAAUGCACCUUGAUCCAAAGCUCCGGCGCCCAAGGAUGGGUCUGCGGCCUAUCAGGUUGUAGUGGGUGUAACGUACCUACUAGCCGACGACGGGUACGGGUUGUGAGAACAAGAGCCCGGAGAUGGAUUCUGAGACACGAAUCCAGGCCCUACGGGGUGCAGCAGGCGCGAAACCUUUACAAUGUGCGAAAGCAUGAUAAGGGAACUCCGAGUGCCAGCAUCUAAUGCUGGCUGUCCUUGUGCCUAAAACGCACAAGAUAGCAAGGGCCGGGUAAGACCGGUGCCAGCCGCCGCGGUAACACCGGCGGCCCGAGUGGUAGCCGCUAUUAUUGGGUCUAAAGGGUCCGUAGCCGGUUCGAUAAGUCCUCUGGGAAAUCUGGUUGCUUAACAAUCAGACUGCCAAGGGAUACUGUCGAACUUGAGACCGGGAGAGGUAAGAGGUACUUCAGGGGUAGGAGUGAAAUCUUGUAAUCCCUGGGGGACCAUCUGUGGCAAGGCGUCUUACCAGAACGGGUCUGACGGUGAGGGACGAAAGCUGGGGGCGCAAACCGGAUUAGAUACCCGGGUAGUCCCAGCCGUAAACGAUGCUCGCUAUGUGUCAGGUACGGUGUGACCGUAUCUGGUGCCGUAGGGAACCGUGAAGCGAGCCACCUGGGAAGUACGGUCGCAAGACUGAAACUUAAAGGAAUUGGCGGGGGAGCACUACAACGGGUGGAGCCUGCGGUUUAAUUGGAUUCAACGCCGGGAA